rnacentral:rRNA from 1 species
UAACCCGCCACGCUUAGCGCGUGGGGAGACAGUGUCAGGUGGGCAGUUUGACUGGGGCGGCCGCCUCCUAAAGAGUAACGGAGGCGCCCAAAGGGUCCCUCAGAAUGGAUGGAAAUCAUUCGCAGAGGGUAAAGGCACAAGGGAGCUUGACUGCGAGACUGACAAGUCGAGCAGGGACGAAAGGCGGGCUUAGUGAUCCGGUGGUUCCGCAUGGAAGGGCCAUCGCUCAACGGAUAAAAGCUACCCCGGGGAUAACAGGCUUAUCUCCCCCAAGAGUCCACAUCGACGGGGAGGUUUGGCACCUCGAUGUCGGCUCGUCGCAUCCUGGGGCUGUAGUCGGUCCCAAGGGUUGGGCUGUUCGCCCAUUAAAGCGGCACGCGAGCUGGGUUCAGAACGUCG